UACGUAGGGCGCGAGCGUUGUCCGGAAUUAUUGGGCGUAAAGAGCUUGUAGGCGGUUUGUCGCGUCUGCUGUGAAAGGCCGGAGCUUAACUCCGUGUAUUGCAGUGGGUACGGGCAGACUAGAGUGCAGUAGGGAGACUGGAAUUCCUGGUGUAGCGGUGGAAUGCGCAGAUAUCAGGAGGAACACCGAUGGCGAAGGCAGGUCUCUGGGCUGUAACUGACGCUGAGAAGCGAAAGCAUGGGGAGCGAACAGGA
rnacentral:rRNA from 1 species